UGGAGUUGGCAUUGGUCACAUGGGAGCUGUUGGGGCUGUUGCUUUUUCAAAGAAACAGAGAAAUUUCUUUGUGAGUGGUAGCAGUGACCGUACUCUAAAGGUAUGGAAUAUGGAUUCUGUCUCUGACAACAAUGAAGAAGUUCUAACUUUGAAAGCUAAAGCAGUUGUAGCAGCACAUGACAAAGAUAUUAACUGUUUGGCAGUAGCACCAAAUGACAGUCUUGUUUGCAGUGGGUCUCAGGAUCGUACUGCUUGCAUAUGGAGACUUCCAGACCUAGUAUCAGUGGUUGCACUGAAAGGGCAUAAAAGGGGGAUAUGGUCUGUGGAGUUUUCACCAGUUGAUCAAUGCGUGAUGACAGCUUCUGGAGAUAAGACGAUAAAAAUUUGGGCAAUUUCUGAUGGAACGUGUUUGAAAACAUUUGAAGGGCAUCAAUCUAGUGUGUUAAGAGCGUCAUUUCUCACCCAUGGCACCCAGAUUGUUUCUUGCGGUGCUGAUUGUAUGGUAAAGUUGUGGACAGUUAAAACCAAUGAGUGUAUUGCAACUUAUGACCAACAUGAGGAAAAGAUUUGGGCCCUGGCUGUUGGUAAGAAAACAGAAAUGCUUGCAACUGGCGGUGGUGAUGCAGUGAUCAAUUUGUGGCAUGACUCAACAGCUUUAGAUAAAGAGGAAGCUUUUCGUAA
rnacentral:misc_RNA from 1 species